GCCUAAUAUUGGGGGGAUAACUACUCGAAAGAGUAGCUAAUACCGCAUGAUAUCUACGGAUGAAAGCAGGGGACCUUCGGGCCUUGUGCUACUAGAGCGGCUGAUGGCAGAUUAGGUAGUUGGUGGGGUAAAGGCUUACCAAGCCCGUGAUCUGUAGCUGGUCUGAGAGGACGACCAGCCACACUGGGACUGAGACACGGCCCAGACUCCUACCGGAGGCAGCAGUGGGGAAUUUUGGACAAUGGGCGAAAGCCUGAUCCAGCAAUGCCGCGUGCAGGAUGAAGGCCCUCGGGUUGUAAACUGCUUUUGUACGGAACAAAAAACCUGAGGCUAAUAUCCUCGGGUCAUGACGGUACCGUAAGAAUAAGCACCGGCUAACUACGUGCCAGCAGCCGCGGUAAUACAUAUGGUGCAAGCGUUAAUCGGAAUUACUGGGCGUAAAACGUGCGCAGGCGGUUUUGUAAGACAGUGGUGAAAUCCCCGGGCUCAACCUGGGAACUGCCAUUGUGACUGCAAGGCUGUAGUGCGGCAAAGGGGGAUGGAAUUCCGCGUGUAGCAGUGAAAUGCGUAGAUAUGCGGAGGAACACCGAUGGCGAAAGGCAAUCCCCUGGGCCUGCACUGACGCUCAUGCACGAAAGCGUGGGGAGCAAACAGGAUUAGAUACCCUGGUAGUCCACGCCCUAAACGAUGUCAACUGGUUGUUGGGAAUUAACUUUCUCAGUAACGAAGCUAACGCGUGAAGUUGACCGCCUGGGGAGUACGGCCGCAAGGUUAAAACUCAAAGGAAUUGACGGGGACCCGCACAAGCGGUGGAUGAUGUGGUUUAAUUCGAUGCAACGCGAAAAACCUUACCCACCUUUGACAUGGCAGGAACUUACCAGAGAUGGUUUGGUGCUCGAAAGAGAACCUGCACACAGGUGCUGCAUGGCUGUCGUCAGCUCGUGUCGUGAGAUGUUGGGUUAAGUCCCGCAACGAGCGCAACCCUUGCCAUUAGUUGCUACAUUCAGUUGAGCACUCUAAUGGGACUGCCGGUGACAAACCGGAGGAAGGUGGGGAUGACGUCAAGUCCUCAUGGCCCUUAUAGGUGGGGCUACACACGUCAUACAAUGGCUGGUACAAAGGGUUGCCAACCCGCGAGGGGGAGCUAAUCCCAUAAAGCCAGUCGUAGUCCGGAUCGCAGUCUGCAACUCGACUGCGUGAAGUCGGAAUCGCUAGUAAUCGUGGAUCAGAAUGUCACGGUGAAUACGUUCCCGGGUCUUUGUAC
rnacentral:rRNA from 1 species